CCUUCACCUGGCUGUCCUCUCUAAAAACACAGCUGUAGCAGGGCUGUUACUGGAGCAUCAUGCCAAGAGUGAUGCUCAGAACCAGUGGGGAUUUACCCCCUUCCAACUUGCAGCCUUGCAACAGCAUGAGGAGAUUCUGGAGUGCCUUGUGAACAAAGCAGCUGACAGGCCUGCUCAAGGCCAGGGGGAAAGGACUGUUCUUGUGGUUCCUGGAAGCCAUGAGGCUCACCUGGAGGAAGAUAAUCUGCGCUUGCAGGAGGAGCUGGACAGGGCUGACACGGAGCUGCAGGAGGAGGAAGAAAAGCAUCUUCAGUCUGAGGAUUGUGUUCCUGACUUGAAGACUGCCUUGGAUGACAACAAAGGAGAAGCAAUAACUUCUUCCCAGAAACUUCAGGACCUCCUGUUGGCAUCUUGUGAGACCAAUCCGACUGUAAACCAACUGGAAGAAGAUGCACAAGACUUUGCAAGUGAGAACAGCAGAUUGGAAGCCACUGUCCAGCAGCCAAGCGACGGCGUUGAAGCCCUUCCAAGAGCCCUGCAAGCCUCUGCCUCAG